rnacentral:rRNA from 1 species
GACGAACGCUGGCGGCGUGCUUAAGACAUGCAAGUCGAACGGCAGUCUUCGGACUGUAGUGGCGCACGGGUGAGUAACGCGUAACUGACCUACCCCAAAGUCGCGGAUAACGAUUCGAAAGAAUCGCUAAUACGUGAUGUGCUGUCAGAUUGUGUUCUGCCAGUAAAGAUUGAUUGCUUUGGGAUGGGGUUGCGUUCCAUCAGCUAGUUGGUGGGGUAAAGGCCCACCAAGGCGACGACGGAUAGCCGGCCUGAGAGGGUGGCCGGCCACAGGGGCACUGAGACACGGGUCCCACUCCUACGGGAGGCAGCAGUUAGGAAUCUUCCACAAUGGGCGAAAGCCUGAUGGAGCGACGCCGCGUGAGGGAUGAAGGUCUUCGGAUCGUAAACCUCUGAAUCAGGGACGAAAGACACUUCGGUGGGAUGACGGUACCUGAGUAAUAGCACCGGCUAACUCCGUGCCAGCCGCCGCCGUAAGAC